rnacentral:rRNA from 1 species
UACGGGGGGAGCGAGCGUUGUUCGGAGUUACUGGGCGUAAAGGGUGUGUAGGCGGUCCUCUAAGUUUGGUGUGAAAUCUCCCGGCUCAACCGGGAGGGUGCGCCGAAAACUGGGGGGCUAGAGUGCGGGAUGGGUAAGUGGAAUUCCUGGUGUAGCGGUGAAAUGCGUAGAUAUCAGGAGGAACACCGGUGGCGAAGGCGGGUCUCUGGGCCGUAACUGACGCUGAGGAGCGAAAGCAUGGGGAGCGAACAGG